rnacentral:rRNA from 1 species
AUUGAACGCUGGCGGCAUGCCUUACACAUGCAAGUCGAACGAAGUCUUCGGACUUAGUGGCGGACGGGUGAGUAACACGUGGGAACGUGCCUUUAGGUUCGGAAUAACUCAGGGAAACUUGUGCUAAUACCGAAUGUGCCCUUCGGGGGAAAGAUUUAUCGCCUUUAGAGCGGCCCGCGUCUGAUUAGCUAGUUGGUGAGGUAAAGGCUCACCAAGGCUACGAUCAGUAGCUGGUCUGAGAGGAUGACCAGCCACAUUGGGACUGGGACACGGCCCAAACUCCUACGGGAGGCAGCAGUGGGGAAUCUUGCGCAAUGGGCGAAAGCCUGACGCAGCCAUGCCGCGUGGAUGAUGAAGGUCUUAGGAUUGUAAAAUCCUUUCACCGGUGAAGAUAAUGACUGUAGCCGGAGAAGAAGCCCCGGCUAACUUCGUGCCAGCCGCCGCGGUAACAC